rnacentral:rRNA from 1 species
GACGAACGCUGGCGGCGUGCCUAAUACAUGCAAGUCGAGCGAGUCUGCCUUGAAGAUCGGAGUGCUUGCACUCUGUGAAACAAGAUACAGGCUAGCGGCGGACGGGUGAGUAACACGUGGGUAACCUGCCCAAGAGAUCGGGAUAACACCUGGAAACAGAUGCUAAUACCGGAUAACAACAGAUGAUGCCUAUCAACUGUUUAAAAGAUGGUUCUGCUAUCACUCUUGGAUGGACCUGCGGUGCAUUAGCUAGUUGGUAGGGUAACGGCCUACCAAGGCGAUGAUGCAUAGCCGAGGUGAGAGACUGAUCGGCCACCUUGGGACUGAGACACGGCCCAAACUCCUACGGGAGGCAGCAGUAGGGAAUCUUCCACAAUGGACGCAAGUCUGAUGGAGCAACGCCGCGUGAGUGAAGAAGGGUUUCGGCUCGUAAAGCUCUGUUGUUGGUGAAGAAGGACAGGGGUAGUAACUGACCUUUGUUUGACGGUAAUCAAUUAGAAAGUCACGGCUAACUACGUG